UUUGCACGUAAUUCAUUUUCUUGGCCAAUCCUCUCUCUUUCCAAAAUCUUUACGCCAUGCAGACUAUAAGAAGUCAGUUAGUUUCUCAAGUAUCAGAAAACAUUCUUGCCUCGGGAUCUCAUGUAUGGAUUCUCUAGUAUUAUCAAAGACGGCAAUACUCACAGCUGGGAUUAUCGCUUAAUUUAAUGCAAGCAACGUUUCGGACAUUCGCUCGUCAUAUAAGAGAGGGUGAUGUCUGAGGAAAUGAUGGGGGAAGAGUCGAGCUCCCCGGUGUCUCCAGUGGACAGUCUCAGCAACAGCGAAGGAGAGCUGGAAAGGCAACCGAAGAGAUGUGGGAGGAAAAGGAGAUCAAGCAGGAAAAACGGGGAGGAUUCAGAUAGCCCGACCCCUGGGAAAAGAGGGAAAAAGUCCAGCAGCAGCAGUCCACAGUCUUUCGAAGACCUACAGACGCAACGAGUCAUGGCUAACGUGCGCGAGCGACAGAGGACUCAAUCACUGAACGAAGCUUUCGCUGCUUUGCGGAAAAUUAUUCCCACUUUGCCCUCAGAUAAACUUAGCAAAAUACAAACUCUUAAACUUGCGGCCAGGUACAUCGAUUUCCUCUACCAAGUUCUGCAGAGCGAUGAGUUGGACUCCAAAAUGGCAAGUUGUAGUUAUGUGGCUCAUGAGAGGUUAAGCUAUGCGUUCUCUGUAUGGAGGAUGGAGGGCGCUUGGUCCAUGUCAGCAUCUCACUAGCGUCUGAAGAGCAGUAAUACAAAAUGGUGACAGCUGAUUCUCCUCAUCAACUUGACGGGACAAAUCUGGAGUCCACUGCUGGAUAUAUACAAAGCUCCGUUAUAUGGGAGACAGCUAUUUAAACCAAAGAGGACAUCGCGAGAGGAUCUUUUUUUCUAGAAAAAAGGCCUACGAAGGACCUACAAUCGAGUGCGAGCCUACUACAAUACAUUCUGAUGUGUUUCUUUAUUGUUGACGACGAAUGUUGGAAAUGUAUGUUUUUAUACAUGCCUCUGGGCUCUGCCGUGCGUUAUUUUCUGUGGAAGUCAAAGUGCAUCCAAGCAACUGUCUCAGUUUUUUGUGAGACUGUCAGUAUUGGAAGGCAGCCCGUAUUGGUUGACAUGUGGAUCAAUCCUGAGCAGAUAAUGUAGGUUAUUGUUUUCAGAACUCAACUAUUUAUUUAUUGAGGACACGAGGACUUGGAUCAUAUUUCUGAAAUGCAUUCCUUUUUAUUAUCGUUGUAAAUAGUUGUAUAUUUUUCACAAUAAAGACAAUGAUUUUGAAAAUCAA